rnacentral:rRNA from 1 species
GACGAACGCUGGCGGCGUGCUUAACACAUGCAAGUCGAACGGUAAGGCCCUUCGGGGUACACGAGUGGCGAACGGGUGAGUAACACGUGGGUGAUCUGCCCUGCACUUCGGGAUAAGCCUGGGAAACUGGGUCUAAUACCGGAUAGGACCACUGCCUGCAUGGGUGGUGGUGGAAAGCUUUUGCGGUGUGGGAUGGGCCCGCGGCCUAUCAGCUUGUUGGUGGGGUGAUGGCCUACCAAGGCGGCGACGGGUAGCCGGCCUGAGAGGGUGACCGGCCACACUGGGACUGAGAUACGGCCCAGACUCCUACGGGAGGCAGCAGUGGGGAAUAUUGCACAAUGGGCGCAAGCCAGAUGCAGCGACGCCGCGUGAGGGAUGACGGCCUUCGGGUUGUAAACCUCUUUCAGCACCGACGAAGCGCAAGUGACGGUAGGUGCAGAAGAAGGACCGGCCAACUACGUGCCAGCCGCCGCGGUAA